rnacentral:lncRNA from 1 species
GGUUCUUCUCAUCUACUCUUUGUGUGUAUUAUUAUUAUUAUUGUUGUUGUUGUUGUUGUUGUUGUUGUUGUUGUUGUUGUUAUUGAACACGUAAAUCUUAAUUCUUUUCUUGUAAACACCGAACUGGUUACAACAAUACCAAAACGAGGGCGACAACUAAGCUUACGAACAUAUAGUAAAAAAUUUGAGAUUUUAAAUUUUAAUAUUUAAUAAGU